GUGGCUGGGGAAGGCGGAGGUGUCAGUGGAGUGCCGCGCGAUGUGGUGGAUUCUGCCAUCCUUAACCUGUAUCACAGCGGGACAGGUCUCCUCUGGGAACACCACGGCGGAGCUGACGAACACCCUCACUCCCUCCAUAACCUCAACUCCUCUCCUUGCUGGUACACCUACCAUCAGUGCCUUCUACCCUUACUCCAAGGAACAACUACUUCCUGCAGAAAGGGAAUAAAAAGAAAACCUAGUUGAGCACUUACCGAUGCACAUAGUCCUCAUAGUGAUUAGGAGCAUCAAAGUUAACUACUAAAAUCAGCUGCUUCACAUCAAGACCUCGAGCCGCUACUGAUGUGGCUACCAGUAUGGGUACUCGACCAGCCUUAAAGUCCA